GCCGAAGUGGCGGAACUGGUAGACGCGACGGACUCAAAAUCCGUUUCUGGAAACAGAGUGGGGGUUCGAUUCCCCCCUUCGGCA
rnacentral:tRNA from 1 species